ACGUCCUUUCUUAGUAAAGGGGUUAAAACAUGGGUACGGUUACUGAUUCGAAUAGAGUACUAAUUCUUUUCAUCAACGUGACUAACAUCACGGUCAUAUUUUCAGGGCCUUCCUAGCAAUAGGUGUCCUGCUUGCAUGGGAACUAUAUCGCACAAUAAUUUAUCUAUGUAGUCACUAAUGGAGAAUGGGACACAUAUAUGUUGGGUGAUAUGGAUCUAUUUGCUAUCAUCUAAACAGUGCAACUUGUAGAUAGUAAAGGUGUUGUUUAUACGUCAACCCUUCCCGAUCCACCAGCAAGAUGCUG
rnacentral:lncRNA from 1 species